CCCUUAGAUGUUCUGGGCCGCACGCGCGCUACACUGAUGCAUUCAACGAGUUUCUUCCUGGUCCGAGAGGAAUGGGUAACCUUUUGAAAGUGCAUCGUGAUAGGGAUAGACUAUUGCAAUUAUUGGUCUUCAACGAGGAAUUCCUAGUAGACGUAGUUCAUCAGACUGCAUCGAUUACGUCCCUGCCCUUUGUACACACCGCCCGUCGCUCCUACCGAUUGGGUGAGCCGAUGAAACUCUCGGAUGUAGGCUAUUCAUAGCCCGCAGAAGAGAUUUGAAGCGUAGCGCUUAGAGGAAGGAGAAGUCGUAACA
rnacentral:rRNA from 1 species